CUGAAUUCGCCACAAAAUGUAUUACAAGAAAUAAAAUUCUCUUGAAGGUGAUAGAUACUAGAGAAUUUUGAGAAUCAUAAAAUUAGUGUGAUGAGUGUUAAUCAGUUUAAAAUUGUUCUGAAAACCUAAAAAAUGAAAUUGGAGAAAAACUUAUUCCUUUAUAACAUUUACAUGACAUGCCACAAUACCAAUAUACUUUUGUCAUACAAAUCCUUCACUGAAAAUUGACGUCCUCCCUUACGUUAUCUGGAAAAUAAACAAACCAAAAGGGUGCAUUAGUUUUUAGCACUCAGCACCAGCAGCCGUCUCCCCACUAUAAAACAUUACAAAUAAAAUAAAUAAUCCUUAAAUGCAUGGAUCCCUAGUAAUCAUCAUAACUUCAAACCUAAAGGAAGGGAAUGAAAGGAAGGGAAGACCAAGCCACAAAGUGAUACUCCCUUGAAACCUAAAGAAGAACCCUACGCUUACAUAAGGAGGAAGAGAAACCAUUGGAGGGAAAAAUACAGAUGAGAUUAGAGUAACACAAAGAGAGACAUAGAGAAAACGUAGUGAGAGAGAACUACCCAGGAAAAAGCCCAGAAAGUUCCACUUAGCCCAGAAGCAUACUCCAAGCCCCAAGCAUCACCAUCCAUGCAACCUUAGUAAUUUUCGUAGCUUUACAUCAAACAUCCCGGCCAUUAGAAACCUAACUAUCACCCUAGGAAAGCCUAGAUUAUCUAGCAAAGAAUGUCAUGCAACCAUACAAAUCCCUUCUCUCUCAUGUAAAUUGAUAAUCUUCUAGCUUUCACACCACGCUUCACUUGAGCAAGUCAUUAUCUUGAUCUUACACGCUAUCUUCGAGUUGUUGAUAUUACCAGGGUAUUUUCUAAGACAAGCUAUCUCUUUUGAGAUAUCAUGAGACUUGUUAUGAAUCUGCACCAAGAGAGACAAGAGGACGUUCUCAAAGCCCAAGUCCACUUCGACCUAAAAGUCCCCCAACAGAUGUCAAACCACCCCCUCCUCUCUUGUAGUUUUAUUUGUUUUCUUAAGAGGGACAUGUUUAUGUCUCUCUCUCUUUUCUUGUACAUUUUACUUUAUUAUUUUUUCUUAUAUUACGACCCUAAUUAAGUGUAACUUCUCUUUUUGAUUUAAUAAAAUUUCUCUCGUAUCAUCGAGAUUCUUCUAAAAAAAUUAAAAAAAAAUAGAAAAAGAAAGAAAGUAGCUUACUCCAUACAAAUACAAGGUCGGUAUGUGAGUUAUAGGGCAAGUAUAUUAAAAAAAGGGUCAAUUUCAUACAACUGCAGUUUAUUUAGGAUCUAAUUAUUGGGAAAUAUUGACAUUAUUGUUUUCAUGCAUGGAAAACUAGAUGUAAAAUUGAGGGAUUAUGAUUCUUUCCCUUCCUCUCACAUUCUUUAUUUCAUCUUUCUCUUUCUAUAAAAAAAUUAAUAUAAGAUGUUGACGUAGUUUAACUAUGACCGUUCAAAUAAGAGGGGAGGAAAGAGGAGGGAAAAAAAAAGGAAGAGAAUGCUACUCCAAAAUUGAGAUGAGCUAAACUUUGAAGCCAACAUUUAUUAAUAAAAAUGAUUUUAUUUGUCUAUUCUGUUUUUUUUAAUUCCCCAAAAUUUUCGGGAAAUUUGGAAAAAUAACCACAAUUUGGACCUCAUAUAGAAUUAUAGCCACCCUUUUAAAUUUAUGAUAAUUAUAACCAAAAGUUGACAUAAAAAUACUAAUAUACCCUUAAAAUUACCAAAACGCAAAAUUAAAAUAUGCAAACCACUGUAGACGGAUUCAACGGAUUCCCCUUCCCCUUCAAUUGGAUUCGAAGUCAGAGCCUUUGAACACAAAAUUCCUAAAUCAUUUAAGCUAUCACAUUUCAAGCUCUUUUAGUUCUUCUUCAAUCGUAUAUGAAUCCAAUUGACGAUUUUGGUCUUCUAUUUUUUCUUUUUCUACUCCCCAUUCUUUUACUUAUGUCUUCCAAAACUUAACAACGUUCUGAACAAAAAAAAUUGUUAGAAGUGGGUCUUUUUAUCGGCUUUCUUCCAAGUUUAUGAUGGAAUAAAUCAAAAUUAACAAAUUCUAUUUGUUUCGUCAGAUUUCAAGAUGGAAAAUAAUUUGGGGAUUCACAAAUGGUGCCAAAAGGAAUAAAUUUGAACCCAAAUCAGCGAUCUGGGGACUAGGAUUUUUGUAGCCCCUCUGGUUUGUUUUCAAAUCUUUUUUAUCUUGAAGGUCGAUUUUUUCAUGGUUAAGAGCAGCAAAUGAGGAAUGUUUUAGCCAUUAGGGGUAUUUUAGUACUUUUAUAUCAACUUUUGGUUAUAAUUAUCAUAAAUUUAACAUUGUGGCUAUAAUUCUAUAUGAGAUCUAAAUUCUGGUUAUUUUUCCAAAUUUCUCAAAAUUUUCACAUGUUUUAUUGACUACCAAGUACAACAUAUAUAAAUACAAUUCUACAAAGAAAACUGGACCGUAGGAGUAUACAUCUAAUCAAUAUAUUUGUUAGAGUCAAAUAUUAAAGUCCAACCUAAUUGGUUUACGUAGUUGUAACCAAAUUGAACUAGUGUUAAGAGUUCUGAUUAAUUAGCUAUUUCUCGAGCAUUAAGGAAUAGUGAAAUACAAAUUAAUUUCUAGGGAACUUUAACGAAAAGUUUCCGGUAUUGUUCAUUUUAAUGAAAAACCAUAUUUUUAAACUAAAAAAUCAAUCCUAGUACUAUUCACUUUACCUUUUAUUUUGUUCUUAUCAUUAAAACUCAAAGUUUACAAUCACUUUUCAUUAAUUUUCCUUAAUUUCUAUUGGUUAAGAGGUUCCUGCAUGGAAGACAAUUUUAUGGUCUUUAGUAUUCGAGUGAUAGGCUCACUAGGGUUUUUAGAAUCCAUUAGUCAGCACGAUUUUAGGCCUGUUGACUUUAUAAAUUUGAGGUCUUUAUGCACGCUGCUAACUAGGCCUGGCAUUUUGGACCCAACCCGUUAACCCGAUCCGACCCAACCCAUUAAUAUUUGUAUUUGAGUGGAUGCUUAACGGGUCGGGUCGCUAACGGGUGAACCCGUUAACAACCCGUUAAAUAACGGGUCACUUUGGGUCAACCCGUUAGACCCGUUAGGACCCGUUAACACCCGUUAGUUGAGAAUAUUUUAGUAAUUUUAGUAAAGUCUUAAUAACAAAAAAUAAACUUUAUGCAAAAAAAAAAAUAAUAAUAAUUGUUAACGGGUGUUAAUGGGUGAAACGGAUGACCUGUUAAGCUUAACGGGUCGGGUUCGGGUGACCCGUUAGCUUAACGGAUUGGGUUCGGAUGACCCGUUAACUUAACGGGUCGGGUUGAACCCGACCCAAACCCAAUAAACCCGACCCGUUUACAGGUCUACUGCUAACACACCACAACUUUAGAACUCCCCAUCAAUGUUCAUUAUAUAAGGAGCAGCAGUGCAUAGAAGUGCUUCAAUCUAUUUCGUCCUGAAUUCGCCACAAAAUGUAUUACAAGAAAUAAAAUUCUCUUUGAUAGAUACUAGAGAAUUUUGAGAAUCAUAAAAUUAGUGUGAUGAGUGUUAAUCAGUCUAAAAUUGUUCUGAAAACCUAAAAAAUGAAAUUGGAGAAAAACUUAUUCGUUUAUAAUACUUACACGACAUGCCACAAUACCAUAUACUUUUGUCAUACAAAUCCUUCACUGAAAAUUGACGUCCUCCCUUACGUUAUC
rnacentral:lncRNA from 1 species